rnacentral:rRNA from 1 species
GUCCUACGGGAGGCAGCAGUGAGGAAUAUUGGUCAAUGGGCGAGAGCCUGAACCAGCCAAGUCGCGUGAAGGAUGACGGCCCUAUGGGUUGUAAACUUCUUUUGUCAGGGAGCAAUUGGGUCCACGCGUGGGCUUAGCGAGAGUACCUGAAGAAAAAGCAUCGGCUAACUCCGUGCCAGCAGCCGCGGUAAUACGGAGGAUGCGAGCGUUAUCCGGAUUUAUUGGGUUUAAAGGGUGCGUAGGCGGUCCGUUAAGUCAGCGGUAAAAUUGCGGGGCUCAACCCCGUCGAGCCGUUGAAACUGGCA